rnacentral:other from 1 species
UAACCCCUGCGAUGUACGUUAAGACACUCCACCGGUUUUGAGCCAACACUCAUACCUAGUGAACCCGAUCUCUUUCUACUAAAAACCAGCCUCCUUUGAGUGGACUUUUGCGGUAGCAAGGAGGGUACACACCUGCACAUGCAGGUUCAAAACAUGGAGUCAAACGGCAUUGUGGGGAUUAA